GCCUGGGUUUCGAUGAAGGGUGUUUCGGUAAUUUUGGCAACCCACAACCCACUGAAACCCUAGUUUCCCUCUGUAAAUAACCGAUCCUGCUCUGUUCAUCGACUUCCCAGCCGUCACAGAUUCAUGGCACUGACAACGCUUAUGGUGGGUAAGUUGGACGCUUUCUCGGCAAAGUUUGCGGUAUGCUCUUGUUUGUAUAUGUUAUCAUCGUUUGAGUUAUCUUUGCGAGUUUUGAGUCUUCAUCGAUUUACUUACUUGAAGAUCCGUGUUCGAUGUCUAUAAGGGUUUGGGAUCCCUGAUUAUGUUUGCCCACUGGUUGUCCUAUUGACAGAAAAUUUUAAGGUUUUCAUUUGAUAUCUGACGUAGACUCUCGUGCCGUGGUGUAUGCUUGGUUGGUACGCCCUUUUAAAGUUUUCACUUUUACUCUAACUUCAGUUUUUUUUUUUUUUCCAUUUUUGUUCGAAAAGAUGAAUCUUAUGUAAAAAAUGGUAUCAUGGUUAGUGACGAAGUUACGGCUGCAAAUAAAAGAGAAGUCUUUGCUUGAUUGAUACGUUAGGGUUGUUUUGCAUCUUCUACUUGGAUGCAUAUGAAUUGGAGGAACAGCUGGCAACAAGUUUCACAUGACACUGGAUCUUCCAGUGAUCUCUACAGUCAAAAGUGUUUUGGACAAUACUGGCACAUAAUUCAUUUAUUCUGGGUUAGGGACACUGUAGUGGUCACAGUCAAGAAGGGUAAAGAAGAUUAUACCAGCUUUUUUCCAUUGGUAAUUUAUUCCUAUUGUAAAUUAAAAAUGAUCUAAUAUUUCCUUUCUUCAAUGCCUUAGAUUCAGCAGUCACCAUAAUGAUAACUUUUACAUGUGAAGGUAAAUAACAUGUUGAACAAUUUAACUUUAUUUUUAAGUUUCAUUUUUCAAGCAAAUGCCCUAAACUGCCAUUUUUUAAUACCUUAUCUCUAUGGAAAUAUCAUUAUUGAUAAAUAGGUUAUAGGUAGAAUCUGAUCAGUGUUACCUUUUAGUGUGUUUAUUUCCAUAUUUCUGAUCAUUUCACUGUAUGGAUCUAUUCAUCAAACAUUUGCCCUAGUUUAAUGCUAUCUUGCAACCUAACUCAAUCCUCCUUUAUCCGGGCUUGGGACCGGCCUUGACAAGGUAAUUCGUCAUGGGCAGAGUUAAAACUGUAAAGUUUUUUUAUUUGUGGAACAUUGUUUGUUUUUUAAAAGUCUUCUCGACUUAAGUAAAUUUCAUAUAAAACUUUGGGUGUUUGUGGCUUUUCCUUGAAAAAUUUAACAUCCUCUUUCAGAAUGUCAUAUUCCAGUUACAGAAUUAUGAAUCACUACAUCUGCUUACAAACUGUUGAUCAACAAAUGUUUUUUUGUUUAUUUGUUCUAUAUCUGGUAACUCACCAAAUGGCUUAAAGACCAUUUAUUUAUUACUGGAAGGUUUUCUAUAGAUUAAUAUUUUUGAUUUGCUGGAACAAAUCAGUGGUCUUAUUCUUAUUUUUUUAAAUUUCUGGGCGAAAAUUUUCUUGAUUCAUGUAGCAGCAGUCAUGCUUGUAUAUGAUUCUCCUUGUUAAUCGUUACUCACCUAAUAAAUGUACUUAAUUUUUGUCAAUAUUUAAUAUGUGUAGGCUUUGAAUAUUAAAAUUGGAUUUUUAUUUAUUUAUUUUGGUUUGGACUCAAUUCUUCAUGGUUGCUUAUAUUCCAAGAAGUGUAACCUGGUAUUUUUAUGUGCCAUUGUGUUCAGAGAAGCAUAGACUUGCCAGUGCUAAACAGCUUGAUGCUUCAUAAAGACAUUGUUUUACCAAUUCCUGAUAAAUUUUGAUGUGGAGUUAGUACUUGAUAAGAAAACUAAACCAACGCCCUACUUUCAGGUGGGAUCCUUUGGUCCGCACUUUGCGACUAGAGGAUGGACCAUAAAGAGUGAUUGGUUGAUUUGGAUGGACUCUACCUGCUAAAUAAGUUGGGUCCAUUCAAAUCAACCAAUCAAUAUAGUGGUCCAUCCUCUAGACUGCACUUUGCGGAACAGAGGAUCUGCUCUCACUUUAUAAUGGCAUGAAUUUGUUUGGCAGUGUUAAACCUCAUCAUAAUUUAUAAUCUCAUCGUGUUUCUGUUAAUUGGUUCCAAAUUUUCCUGUGAAGUUUUCUUUGAAGUCUAAUCUUUUGUUCUUUUCAGUUGCUUCUAUUCUGGAAGAGUGGCCUGGUAUUUCUACUGGGACAUUCUGUAGAGAGGGGCAUAAAUUUAUUACUCAGUUAGUCAGUUUUAAACAGCAUGUUUCUUACAAUGGCAACGUGUUACCUGUCUACUGAUAAAUUUCAUCAAAAAUUUAAUUCAUGUUAAGAUAACCUAGCAGAUACUACUGUUUCUCUGUUCCCAGAAGAUUGUUAUUGUAUGUGCUACUUGGAAAUCUAAUUUUUUGUUCUUUUCAGUUGCUUCUAUUCCGGAAGAGUGGCCUGGUAUUUCUACUGGGACAUUCUGUAGAGAGGAGCAUAAAUUUAUUACUCAGUUUUAAACAGCAUGUUGUCUUAUAAUGGCAACGUGUUACCUGUCUACUGAUAAAUUUCAUCAAAAAUUUAAUUCAUGUUAAGAUAACCUAGCAGAUACUACUGUUUCUCUGUUCCCAGAAGAUUGUUAUUGUAUGUGCUACUUGGAAAUCUAAUUUUUUGUUCUUUUCAGUUGCUUCUAUUUCGGAAGAGUGGCCUGGUAUUUCUACUGGGACAUUCUGUAGAGAGGAGCAUAAAUUUAUUACUCAGUUUUAAACAGCAUGUUGUCUUAUAAUGACAACGUGUUACCUGUCUACUGAUAAAUUUUCAUCAAAAAUUUAAUUACAUGUUAAGAUAACCUAGCAGAUACUACUGUUUCUCUGUUCCCAGGAGAUUGUUGUUGUACGUGCUACUUGGAAAAUCUAAUUUUUUGUUCUUUUCAGUUGCUUCUAUUCCGGAAGAGUGGCCUGGUAUUUCUGCUGGGACAUUCUGUAGAGAGGAGCAUAAAUUUAUUACUCAGUUUUAAACAGCAUGUUGUCUUAUAAUGGCAACGUGUUACCUGUCUACUGAUAAAUUUUCAUCAAAAAUUAAAUUACAUGUUAAGAUAACCUAGCAGAUACUACUGUUUCUCUGUUCCCAACUUUAUCCUGAUUCACUUGUGGAUUUCUGUUGGAAUAUAUUGUCGAGGAAAGCAUAAAUCUGUUUGUAUCAUAUUUUCUCCUUACUAUCAUUUCUUUCACUAAUUUAUUCUGAUUCUCUUUUUAGUUGCUUCCAUCCGGAAGAGUGGCCUUCUCUGUCAUGUGGUCAUUCUGUAGAUGGAAGCAUAGAUUUAUCUGUCAGUAUUAAACAGCAUUGUGCUCCACAAUGGCAUUGUGUUACCUGUCUCCUGAUAAAUUUUCAUCUGAACUGUGUUCCAUAAGCAAAUUUUUAUUGUCAAAUCACAACAGAUAGCUGGGUUUUUGAAUUUGCAGUCAGGUUGAAGAUGAACUUAGAUUGUGGUUGCUUUCACAGACUUGAUAUCAGCCAAGGUGGAUCAAUACUCUGCGACUCGCAUCGUUCGUCCCGGAAUCUAUAUUGGAUCAUCUUCGAUCGGCUUUAGAUCUUCCAAAGGAUACGUGAUUAUAUGUUUAUUGUUACCCUUACAAAAACUACGUAAAUGAUGUAUGUCUGUUGAUAGUUGUACUGUAUCAGACAAAAUUUAAUGUUUCUGGUGAAUCAAUGACUGACUUAAUUCUUAA